rnacentral:rRNA from 1 species
AGAGUUUGAUCCUGGCUCAGGAUGAACGCUAGCGGCAGGCCUAACACAUGCAAGUCGAGGGGACAGCACGUUAAAGAGUUUACUCUUUUAUGGUGGGCGACCGGCGGACGGGUGCGUAACGCGUAUGCAACCUGCCUGACACAGGGGGAUAAUCCGAAGAAAUUUGGUCUAAUACCCCAUAAUACCGAUAUAGGCAUCUAUGUUGGUUGAAAGCUUUGGUGGUGUCAGAUGGGCAUGCGUUGUAUUAGCUAGUUGGUGAGGUAACGGCUCACCAAGGCGACGAUACAUAGGGGGACUGAGAGGUUAACCCCCCACACUGGUACUGAGACACGGACCAGACUCCUACGGGAGGCAGCA